rnacentral:rRNA from 1 species
GCGGACGGGUGAGUAAUGCCUAGGAAAUUGCCCUGAUGUGGGGGAUAACCAUUGGAAACGAUGGCUAAUACCGCAUAAUACCUACGGGUCAAAGAGGGGGACCUUCGGGCCUCUCGCGUCAGGAUAUGCCUAGGUGGGAUUAGCUAGUUGGUGAGGUAAUGGCUCACCAAGGCGACGAUCCCUAGCUGGUCUGAGAGGAUGAUCAGCCACACUGGAACUGAGACACGGUCCAGACUCCUACGGGAGGCAGCAGUGGGGAAUAUUGCACAAUGGGCGCAAGCCUGAUGCAGCCAUGCCGCGUGUGUGAAGAAGGCCUUCGGGUUGUAAAGCACUUUCAGUCGUAACAAGGUAGCCGUAA